CUUUGAUACAAAACAAUGAUGCAAUAUUUCCUCCAAACCCGACAGUAUUAUCACAGUCCACAAUGCACAAAGCAGCUGGGUCAGAUUCAGAUGACAUCGGGCGGCAUAGACAGCGUUCAAAAUGGCGUGACUUACCGAAAAUACAUCUGCAGCUACACAAGCGACCAGAUACUAAAAAUAGGUGCUCUAGAUAGAAAACACAAAAGGAACAGGAGUUAUAUACAAGUGUGAACACUGCCGUAAAAUAGUGAGAUCAUCGUCUUAGAUCAUUAGUCUUAGAGAAUCUCUCAAUCCCCCGAGACAUCGGCGUAGUAGUUAUGAAGUUGUCAUAACGCCAGAAGGGAGCCCUUAAAAUUGCAGACAAUACGUGAUUCCUCUUCUAAGUAAAGGCUUCGAUACAAAUUGCAAUCCCAAGUAACAGAGUGUGGUCAGGGCUUUAAAUGGAAAUUACAUAGUGAAGCCAAUGGGUAGAAAAAGGUCAGAAGACGCGGAAUGUGCGGUUAUGGGAGAUGGAGCAGACAUGGAGCGGAAGGUUUAUUUAGGACUUACAAAAUAGCAAAAAAGAAGAUGGAAAAUAAAAGUUAAAGAAGCUGCA